GAAACCACAACUAAGUUAUUUGAAUAUCUAAUAGAACACUUGUUUAGGUGUGGAGGUUAUUUGUGUAUUUUUUAUUUUCUGUUUUCAGCAUGUCUAGAACAUAAAAGUCAUUCUUCACCUAUUGCACUUAUUGAUGAAAAAUCUACAAAUGAUCAUUCAUCACUUCCACAAAAGAGUCUACCUCUGGCAAAAGAAGUACUAGAUCUAUGUUUUUCUGAUGAAUAUUUCUCUGAUAAAAGACCAGCAAAAGAGGAAAAACCAACAGAUGACCAAGAACCAGUAAAAAGAAUAAUCCAAAAGAAAGAAAAUAAAGAUCACUUUGAACUUGACUGCAUAGGACCAUCUAUUAAAUCAUCUUCCUCUUCAAUAAUUAAAAAAGCAUCUUUUGAACAUGGUAAAAAACAAGAGAAUGAUUUAGACCUUUUGAACGACUUUAUUAUGCUGCGAAAUAAAUAUAAGACUUGCACCUCAAAGACUGAAGUCAGAAACAGUGAUGAAAAACAUGAUAGCCAGUGCCAAGCAUUUUGCCUCCUUGAAGCAGCAGCUUCUCCUAUCUUAAAAAACCUUGUAUCCUUCUGUACUCUCCCUACUGCUAAUUGGAAAUUUGCCACUGUUAUUUUUGACCAAACAAGGUUUCUCUUAAAGGAACAAGAAAAAGUAGUAAGUGAUGCUGUUUACCAAGGUGAGUGAAAAUAAAAGUCACAUUAUUUAAAAAGAUAUAUUUAGAAAUUAUUGUAUCAAAUUAGUAAAAAAUUGAAUAUAGAAGAUUCAGAAAUUAGUCAUAGAUUAUAUCAUGACUGUAAUUCAGCUUAUGAUACCCAGCCAAACCAAUACUGAAGGAUCAGCUAAGUAGAGAAAAGGUAAGAAAUACCACCUGGCAUUGCUUCUCAGUGAAGCUCCUAAUUGACAUGUAUCACUUGACAGAUUCCUAUUGCAGAAACUAAAUUAACUUUAUUGUUGUCCGCAUCUGAACCACUCAGUCUCCUCCCAAAAAAGGAGGUCAAAAACUAGAUUACUUAAAAUCAAUCCCAGACUUUUUCUUUCUGCCAAGAUGGAGUAACAGGGACUAGAUUUACCCCCCUCCUACCAAAAAAAAAAAAACAACAAAAAGACAAAGACAAAAUACAUGAAACUGGUUUUUAAAGACCCUGAGGGAAGGGAAAUGAGUGAAAUGAGCCCUACUAUUACCCUAGCUAACUGCCUUGAAAGAAUUGUCAGGCUAUGAUGUAGGGAAAGUUACCUGAGGCAGAGCCUGGUGGACAAUCUGAGUUGAAGAAACAGGUGAGAGUCCAGGGAGACCAAGACAGAUAAGAGUUCAAAACAGAAUGUUAGAGAGCAGAGAGCUUCACACAGAAAGUAUAGAAUUGUGCAGAGGAUGUCCCUUGAGUAUUCAGCAGAUGAUUGAUCAAAGAAUAUAUGUGAAGUGGCCAGGUGUGGUGACUCAUGCCUAUAAUCCUAGCACUUGGGAGGCCGACGUAGGUGGAUCACCUGAGGUCAGGAAUUCAAGACCAGCCUGGCCAACAUGGUGAAACCCCAUCUCUACUAAAAAUACAAUAAUUAGCCUGGUGUGGUGGCACGCACCUGUAAUCCCAGCUACUUGAGNNNNNNNNNNNNNNNNNNNNNNNNNCCAGUUCCCCACAUAUGUUUUCUCUGCCCUAUUCUCAUCUCUUGCAGAUCAUCAUUGACUUGUUCCCACAAGUCCUUCUAGGGGCUGAAUAUAUUACCCAUAAUUGGCUUUCCUAUUGCCUCUUAAUUACCUACUACAUAUUUGCCUGGAUCUUCAUUGAAUAUAUCAUCAAUUUGCAAACUAUUUAGCAGAAUUCUUUGUUCAAAUAAAUAUUUCAUGAGAUCCCAAUAUAUGAAAAAGAAAAACAUAGAGCUUCUCUGGUUAAAUUGGUGUAGGGGGUCUAGAAUACUAUCUUCUUGGUCUCACUUUUAUAUGCAGAAAAAUCCAACCUAUCAUCCAAAAAAGCUCUAGAACUAAAUGGAACACAGUUAGGCAAUUAGCCUGUCCCUGUGAGUUUAUCCCUUGUUUGAGUUAUACCUUUGAAUAAAUAUUCCUAGGUGUCUACCUCCAUUUCAGGGUAUAUCUUCAUGUUAUAAUCCUCUGCUUUUAAUCAGUUGGUAAGUUAUGAAUUUAUUUUUAUCUUGUUUCAUAACUGGGAAUCAUUGACUCUUUUUCCCAAUAGGAGUAGAAAUAAGUGAAUAUUCUUUGGAAGCAACAAGGACAUGAAUUCUAAGGUUAGCUGUCUGAGUUUGAAUGACAGCUCUACCAUUUACUCACUCACUGACCUUGGACAGUUACUUAACCUCAUUAACACUAUUUCCUCAUUCAUAAAAUUCAAUCAUAAUAAACUUGGCUGAUAGGAUUACUGUUAUGGAUUCAAUGAAAUAGCCAGCUUAUGUACAGCCUGGCAUAUAGUAAGCACUCAAUAAUAAAUGGUAGCUCCCAUUAGUAGGCAGAUUCUGAUACAUACUCUGAAACUGUAAUAUAUUGUCUAUGUUUUAAAAUAUGUUUUUGCUUACUUAGGUACAAAUGAUGAAAGAGAAAUGAUAUUCAAGCAUGCUGCUCUCUUACAUCUUCUGGUAACAGUUAGAGAUGUCCUUUUAACAUGCAGCUUGGACACAGCAUUGGGUUGGGAAUAUUUUAUUUCCCCUUUUCUUUCUAUUAAAUAUUUCAUCUGAAAUAACUUACUUUUCGAAAAAAGAUAUACCUUAUAAGAAAUUACGUAGACUUCUUUUCUAUUAUAAUAAGCAUUACAUACAUUUUGGCAAGAUA
rnacentral:lncRNA from 1 species